CAGACUAAACGGCUGGCCCUCAUCAACGCUCUGGAGACAAGCUAUCUGUUCGUCCUCGGGUUUAUCGACUGAGAAAGGAUGAACCUGGGACUCAUCAACGCUCUGGAGACAAGCUAUCUGUUCGUCCUCGGGUUUAUCGACUGAGAAAGGAUGAACCUGGGACUCAUCAACGCUCUGGAGACAAGCUAUCUGUUCGUCCUCGGUUUUAUCGACUGAGAAAGGAUGAACCUGGGACUCAUCAACGCUCUGGAGACAAGCUAUCUGUUCGUCCUCGGUUUUAUCGACUGAGAAAGGAUGAAACUGGGACUCAUCAACGCUCUGGAGACAAGCUAUCUGUUAGACAGUAGAAACAGUAGAACAGUAGAAAAAUAGCCAAAGACAGAACAGAAUGGGCAUGUCCCCACUGCAAUGCAAUGUAUCAUUACUAAUGGAGAACGGUAUGUUUUAACUAGGCAAGUCAGUUAAGAACAUUUAUUUGUAUUUUUAUAAUGACGGCCUACAUCGGCCAAUUGUACGCCGCCCUAUGGGGACUCCCAAUCACGUGCCUUAGACGUAAUCCAUUUCCUGACUAAUACAACCUAAAGAGUUCAAUGUAUUCUUGGUCUGACAUGAGAAAACAUACAGCUAAUGUAGCUAAAAUGUCAAGGGCAAUUCCACAGUAAGGAAAUGACACUUUGACUCAGAUUUGUUCACUUUAAAAUGUAUGCCAAACUGAUUUCAAAGUUUAACAAACCAUACAACUCUAUACACAAGGGCUUUUUAUUUUAUUUUUUAAAACAAUUUAUACAGAACAUUUCACAAAAACACAUUUUCUGGAAGAGCAAAGUUUUGGUCUUAGCUUUUUUUUUAAUGCGAAAGUCACCCAGUAAAAUACUACUACUAGUAAAAGUCUAAAAGUAUUUGGUUGUAAAUAUACUUACGUAUCAAAAGUAAAAGUAUAAACAAUUUUAAAUUCCUUACAUAAAGCAAAACAGAAAGCAUGAUUUUCUUGUUUUUUAAAUUUAACGAAUAUCCAGGGGCACACGCCAACACUCAGAUGUAAUUUACAAACAGUGUGUGUGUUUAGUGAGUCCUCCAGAUCAAAGGCAGUAGGGAUGACCAGGGAUGUUCUCUGUUUAGUGAGUCCUCCAGAUCAGAGGCAGUAGGGAUGACCAGGGAUGUUCUCUGUUUAGUGAGUCCUCCAGAUCAGAGGCAGUAGGGAUGACCAGGGAUGUUCUCUGUUUAGUGAGUCCUCCAGAUCAGAGACAGCAGGGAUGACCAGGGAUGUUCUCUGUUUAGUGAGUCCUCCAGAUCAGAGGCAGUAGGGAUGACCAGGGAUGUUCUCUGUUUAGUGAGUCCUCCAGAUCAGACGCAGUAGGGAUGACCAGGGAUGUUCUCUGUUUAGUGAGUCCUCCAGAUGAGAGGCAGUAGGGAUGACCAGGGAUGUUCUCUGUUUAGUGAGUCCUCCAGAUCAGAGGCAGUAGGGAUGACCAGGGAUGU
ensembl:lncRNA